AUUGAACGCUGGCGGCAGGCCUAACACAUGCAAGUCGAGCGGAUGAAGGGAGCUUGCUCCUGGAUUCAGCGGCGGACGGGUGAGUAAUGCCUAGGAAUCUGCCUGGUAGUGGGGGAUAACGUCCGGAAACGGGCGCUAAUACCGCAUACGUCCUGAGGGAGAAAGUGGGGGACUUUUGGACCCACGCGAUGAAGGGAGGCUAGGUCGGGUUAGGUAGGUGGUGGGGUAAAGGCCUACCAAGGCGACGAUCCGUAACUGGGCUGAGAGGAUGAUCAGUCACACUGGAACUGAGACACGGUCAAGACUACUACGGGAGGCAGCAGUGGGGAAUAUUGGACAAUGGGGGAAAGCCUGGUCCAGCCAUGCCGCGUGUGUGAAGGAGGUCUUCGGAUUGUAAAGCACUUUAAGUUGGGAGGAAGGGCAGUAAGUUAAUACCUUGCUGUUUUGACGUUACCAACAGAAUAAGCACCGGCUAACUUCGUG
rnacentral:rRNA from 1 species